GACGAACGCUGGCGGCGUGCUUAACACAUGCAAGUCGAACGGAAAGGCCCUGCUUUUGUGGGGUGCUCGAGUGGCGAACGGGUGAGUAACACGUGAGUAACCUGCCCUUGACUUUGGGAUAACUUCAGGAAACUGGGGCUAAUACCGGAUAGGAGCUCCUGCUGCAUGGUGGGGGUUGGAAAGUUUCGGCGGUUGGGGAUGGACUCGCGGCUUAUCAGCUUGUUGGUGGGGUAGUGGCUUACCAAGGCUUUGACGGGUAGCCGGCCUGAGAGGGUGACCGGCCACAUUGGGACUGGGAUACGGCCCAGACUCAUACGGGAGGCAGCAGUGGGGAAUAUUGCACGAUGGGCGGAAGCCUGAUGCAGCAACGCCGCGUGCGGGAUGACGGCCUUCGGGUUGUAAACCGCUUUCGCCUGUGACGAAGCGUGAGUGACGGUAAUGGGUAAAGAAGCACCGGCUAACUACGUG
rnacentral:rRNA from 1 species